UACGUAGGGGGCAAGCGUUGUCCGGAAUCAUUGGGCGUAAAGAGCGUGUAGGCGGUUCGGUAAGUCGGCUGUGAAAGUCCAGGGCUCAACCCUGGGAUGCCGGUCGAUACUGCCGGACUAGAGUUCGGAAGAGGCGAGUGGAAUUCCCGGUGUAGCGGUGAAAUGCGCAGAUAUCGGGAGGAACACCAGUGGCGAAGGCGGCUUCCUGGCCUGUUCUUGACGCUGAGGCGCGAAAGCUAGGGGAGCAAACGGG
rnacentral:rRNA from 1 species